CUGAGGUAUGCCAAUAUAAUAAAUGAACUGGACGAGAAUAAGUGACGCCAGGUCUUAUAGAGCAAUCAAUACAAAUUUUAAAGUUUUGGUUCAAAUCCUCAGUAUGUACAGAGGUCAAGAGACAACACCAAGUGUCUACAACCAACUGUAGAACAUGGUGGAUGCGUUGUGAUGUAUUUAUGUCAGUGGUGUUUCAGAUCUUGUCAAAAUGUAUGCAAUUGCACACAGAGAAAUGCACUGUGUAGCAUCAAAUUUUGCAUUACCAUCUUGAAAGCAUCUGAUUGGCAAUGGCUUCUUUUGUUCAGCGUGACAAUGAUCACACUGCAAAUGCAGUAAAAGCAUACCUGGAUGGAAAAACACACAAUGGUAGACUAUCAGUCAGGGACUGGCCUUCGCCAUGAACAUGCAUUUUGUUGGACAUCGAUGUGGAUGACUUGUUUUAUGAAGGAGACUAAGCUGCCCAUUCGCUUAUGUUCACUGUUUUCUGGACUGAUGCCCUGGACAAGUUGUAUAUGUGUAUGUUAUAUAAUAACUUAUUAGGAGGAUAAUAAUACUAGUUAUUUUUUUUAUAUUUUCUUCAUUUUUUUAGUGUUGAUUUUAUUUUUUGGAUGAAACGUUUAAAUAAUGCAAACUAUAGUAGAUCCAUCUACGUGGAUUAUCAGCAUGCAGUUACGUUUGCAUUCCAUUUUUACAACUGUGUCUGCUGUAGACUGAACAUUGUGUUAUUGUCCUGACUGGAGAACCUAAAACCUUAUUUUGUGGUCUGGGCUGGCUUGAUUUUGCCUGUUUACAGUGGUUACAACAUAUUAACCUUUUUAUAGAAAUGGGAUUGCAAACUCUGCUUGCCUUCAGCAAAUACUUGCAAUGUCACCAGAGCCCUGGAAGUCAAUGAAAUAAUACAAUGUCCUUAGUGCCAAAGAUAACAUAGAAUAUGUUAUCAGAAGCAUUAUUUGGUCACAAAUUGUUUCAUCUUUAUUAUGAAGGGACGUAUUUUGACUCUGCAGGCUUUCCUUAUUUUACUUGUCACACAGUGUGUAAGAUACUGAAGAACAGCGUCUGGGUUAUCCUGGUCCCAAAAUGAAUAAACCCUGUCCUUAUCUAAAAAUGUAGAAACAUUCCAGAAACCUUUGUUCAUCUCUGCUGUUUUUUAUUAACCCAACCUUUACAGUACAUAACACAUUUUGUGGGUCAUCGUUGUCAAUUCCUGAUUAAAAUAUGUCAUCCUUUUUUGCAUAAUGCUGUUAACACAUUUCCCCCUUUUUUUGCUGGUUUACUGUCAAAACAAGUCAUCUGGGUUACCCCUUUAUCAGCUACCCACUCAGCACUGUUACAGAUAAAUCCCUCUUACUCUUUUACCAUGCUGCUUAUCACUUACUGUGCCAUGAUGUGGUCACAGCAAAUACAGCAAAAAGAAGAUGAAUCUGCUUGUCUGCAGAAGUCACUUCUGCAGAUAUGCCUGAAUUUUAAAAUUCACCUCAAACGUAAGCUUAUUUAAGCCUAGCAGCAAUUAAAGUUUC
ensembl:lncRNA